GGGUUGUGAGGUUAAGCGACUAAGCGUACACGGUGGAUGCCCUGGCAGUCAGAGGCGAUGAAGGACGUGCUAAUCUGCGAAAAGCGCCGGCGAGGUGAUAUGAACCUUUGACCCGGCGAUGUCCGAAUGGGGAAACCCAGUGUGUUCCGACACACUAUCGUUAACUGAAUACAUAGGUUAACGAGGCGAACCGGGGGAACUGAAACAUCUAAGUACCCCGAGGA
rnacentral:rRNA from 1 species